rnacentral:rRNA from 1 species
UGAUGUUAGCGGCGGACGGGUGAGUAACACGUGGGUAACCUGCCUGUAAGACUGGGAUAACUCCGGGAAACCGGGGCUAAUACCGGAUGGUUGUUUGAACCGCAUGGUUCAAACAUAAAAGGUGGCUUCGGCUACCACUUACAGAUGGACCCGCGGCGCAUUAGCUAGUUGGUGAGGUAAUGGCUCACCAAGGCAACGAUGCGUAGCCGACCUGAGAGGGUGAUCGGCCACACUGGGACUGAGACACGGCCCAGACUCCUACGGGAGGCAGCAGUAGGGAAUCUUCCGCAAUGGACGAAAGUCUGACGGAGCAACGCCGCGUGAGUGAUGAAGGUUUUCGGAUCGUAAAGCUCUGUUGUUAGGGAAGAACAAGUACCGUUCGAAUAGGGCGGUACCUUGACGGUACCUAACCAGAAAGCCACGGCUAACUACGUGCCAGCAGCCGCGGUAAUACGUAGGUGGCAAGCGUUGUCCGGAAUUAUUGGGCGUAAAGGGCUCGCAGGCGGUUUCUUAAGUCUGAUGUGAAAGCCCCCGGCUCAACCGGGGAGGGUCAUUGGAAACUGGGGAACUUGAGUGCAGAAGAGGAGAGUGGAAUUCCACGUGUAGCGGUGAAAUGCGUAGAGAUGUGGAGGAACACCAGUGGCGAAGGCGACUCUCUGGUCUGUAACUGACGCUGAGGAGCGAAAGCGUGGGGAGCGAACAGGAUUAGAUACCCUGGUAGUCCACGCCGUAAACGAUGAGUGCUAAGUGUUAGGGGGUUUCCGCCCCUUAGUGCUGCAGCUAACGCAUUAAGCACUCCGCCUGGGGAGUACGGUCGCAAGACUGAAACUCAAAGGAAUUGACGGGGGCCCGCACAAGCGGUGGAGCAUGU